AGCCAUGGAGAUUUAAGAAUUCAGUGCUGUGGCUUGCUUCUCUUGGUGUACAAGUUAUCCUCUGCAACCUGGGUCUUCAACUUCUUAGUAGUUCUCAACUACGUCAGUUGUCUCAUUAUUUUAGGACAUUAUCCUACUUGAAAUAUAGUCAUUCUCACAUCAUUCCUGUCCUUGUUAUCCAUUGAAAACUGAGCUUUCUCUUCAAUUUGGAUCGAAUUCAAAGAUUCAGAAGCCCUAAUGGAGUCUGGUUGGAAGCAAAUGUUUUUUUAAUGGACUUGCAUCUCCUCACCUUGAUCAGGACUAAAGGACGGAGGCCGCCCCACCCCCUUCCCUUUCCUCCAAACCCCUAACUCCCUCCAGACACCCAGGGAAUACCCUCUGCCCCACAGGAUUGAAGACUGCUUGGCAGCCCUCCCAAUCCCACACCUCCUGUUUGCCAGGGGAAAGAACCUAAAGACUUCGUGUGAUUGGGAGGGGUGGCAGACAGGAAGAAAAGAACAUGUCCAGGCCCCUGGUCUCCAUAGAGAAUGGUGCUUUGUCCAAGAAAACGUAUGAGUUUCUGAUUCUCCGGGAGCAGUUCAAUGGUGAGGUUGAUGGGAAGACUUCCUUCCCAAAGAAAAUAGAUCCUCCAUGCAGGAUCUAAGAGAGUGACUGGGUGUG
rnacentral:sRNA from 1 species